rnacentral:pre_miRNA from 1 species
GUCAGGCACUAAAAGUGAGAGUUGGAGGAAAGAAAACUAAUCGGCUAUCAGAUUCUGCAAUGGCUUGAUGCAUAAACAUGAUUGCCGUUCCGUUUGUUUUCCUCUAAUAUCUCACCUUCA